rnacentral:rRNA from 1 species
ACACGUAUGAAAGUCAAGCUGAAAGACUUUACUCAAUGAUGUAAGUGGUGGUGCAUGGUCGUUCGUAGUUCGUGGAUUGAUUUGUCUGGUCUAUUCCGAUAACGAGCGAGACCCCAACGUUCCUAAUAGGGGCUUCAGCCCGGCCGGUCGCAAGAUUGGUUAGCUGUUGCUUAGGUUUAGCUUCUUAGACGUAUCAGAGCCGAUAAGGUUCUUGAAAUGGGUUAAUAACAGGUCAGUCAUGCCCUUAGAUGUUCUGGGCCGCACGCGCGUUACAAUGGCAUGAAAAGAAAGUGCUUCAAAAGGCGUUUCCGGGGCCGAAAGGUCCUGGUAACCCUUAAUCCCUGCCUUGACUGGGAUAGAUCUUUGCAAUUAUUGGUCUCUAACGAGGAAUUUUUAGUAAUCGUAGGUCAUUAACCUGCGAUGA